AAAUGGCCAUAAUUCUCCGUUUUGCCCAAAACGGUCACCCUACUGAAGGAACGGUCUGCGCCAGUUGUUUGGCUAACACCCGUUUGUCUCAUGUAAUGUGUCGCCUAUAUUUCGGAUUCUUCUCCAGAAUAGUGUUUUUAACAAUGACAUUCUAGGUCAUUUUCAUAAAAAGGGUGCAGAGGCCGAAAAGUGAAUCUCUUUCAUGCUUUAAUAUGUGCAGGUGGCAAGUUGUUACUUCCGCAAGAAGUGCCGAAAUGCGAUCGCACGCGAAGGCGCCACAUUGAAGUCGUAAAUCACGUUUUUUUCGGGAAGAAGGUAGAUCCUCGAAACCAUAGUCAGGCAGGAUUAUGGCGGCUAUCAACUAUCAAGUGUCACAAGAACAAUCAUUUGGUUCAGGAUUGGGAGUGUCCACAUUUUUAGAGCGUUUUUCAAGAUGGAAAAAGACCCUUAAGUUGUUCGUUGAAGAAGUAGCUUGAGUGUUACCCACGAUCAGAAAGGAAUUUCAAGUCACAAGCUUGUUUGUUAACAAGAAAGCGACUGGUCGUGAUCUCUCAAGGAGUUGGGCACUGGAUUUGAGAAAGAAUUUCUUUCUAUGACCGAGUUUCUCACGCAAUCACGAGAUUUGACGGGACUCCAUUCAGACUCUUUUUGUAAGUAGUUUUUUAACCUCAUCAGUCUUCUCAUCACAACUGUAAAGACCCUUGAAACUGCCCACAAUAUUCACGAAUGAAGUUUCAACGAGGCAAGAGGCUUCAAACUCUCGUAUUGGGGCUGGUCCGUCCAACACGGCCCUCUGCAAAUGUGUACAGAGGUGAAACCUUUCGCCGGUUCAUCCGGAUUUGACCCCUGUCACUCAAUCAAAACGGCAGAAAAAAAUGAAGGCAAAUAUCUCAGGAAUUUUCUCUAUCAGGUGAAAAAAAGCUCGGUCGAGCACCUUGCCAUUAAGCUCAUUUCGCGGUUCAUGUGUCUUUAAUCACAACAUGUUCCCCGUUGAAAGCAAGUCACCACAGAAGUCUUACUAAAUACAAAUGGGAAAACUGCCGUUUUACCGAUUUCAUCUCCGAGCGUGAGGAGGGUCCUUUUUUAAACCCCAAAAUAUUUUCCACAACCUACUUAUUGCCAAGACGGAUGACGAGACCUCGUUUGUCAAAGUCAAAGAGCAAUUUGAGGAUUUCAAGAGAUUUUUGGACAUGUACAAAUUGUCGCUCUUUCCUUAAAGCACCUCCUCAGUUCAAGUUCUAGCCACAGGAAGACGUUUUUGGAAACUUUCUGGUACAAGACUCGGCUUGUUCUGACACCAGUAUCUCCUAUGAAGUGGCUUUUAAAUACAGGCCUCGUCGACCUAAAGAGUGGCGACAAAUCUCAUCCUUUUGGGAGCUAUUUGCUUUGACAAAUUGCCCUUUAAUCACAUCAUUCGAGUUCAUAAAUCAUAGAUAGCAACCCUCUCUUCCACCCCAAAAGUGGCACCUGCGGACUUGGCUAGGAUUCCGCGGAAUUGAAGCCUCAUGCAACGCUCCUACAAAGUCAGGGUUGCCGUAUUGACCUUAGAUGUCUGACUCUUUCCCUCAAACUGGACGCCUCAUGACGAGCACUAAGAGACCCUGAGCGUCAUUGCCCAAAUUCAUUAGGACCAUAUUAUGGAGAACCACCCCAAGUCCAGUCACCCUCUAUAAACAUGAAUUAUGCCUCAAAGCAUCUGACACCAUCUUUUAUGGUCAAAUGUCGAGGCAAACUAGGGGUUUCCCGACUUCUCCGACUUUGAAAGCCUACUUACUCCCCCCGUCUUUUUGACCUGAUGGAGAAAGAUUUAGAGCGUUCUCAGACCAAUAGUCCCUGCUACAUUUACAUACAAGAAAUGAGACCGACAGCACCGGCGUUAGGCGAUGACUUUGACGAUCCUAUUAAAAUCACAAAUGAACCAAUGAAGCUGUUCCUUCAUAUACUCUCUCAUACUCCUUGAAAUGGGGCCCUAAUCCCGAACUGGAGUGUUUACUUAUUCAUAUCUAAUUACAACCUCAAGCAACGACUUCUGUUUGCCUAUGAAACCCUACAGUAAUCACCGUGUUUACGUCUUGGUUGCCUGGUGUCCUAUUUAAUCUGGCAUGCGAACGAAAGCAACCUUGAAGGCAGUGUUACAAUGAAGUGGUUCCUAAUUUUAUCCUGGGGUGUCAUCGCUGGUUCUGCGACUUUUUGCACCUAUUUGGAACGCCUUCCAAUCACCAGUGCCUUUGUUCCACCAGACUGCACGGCUCGUUGUAAUCAAAUCUGUGUGAACAACCCAGGAUAUUACUUUUGUACCGGGAGGCAUGUAUUUACCGACACCAGCACCCGUAAACUGGAAGAAUCGAGGACCGGCAUGUUUGCCUAUUGCAUUUGUACCCGGAGUGAAGUGACUCGUUCCCCUGGGGCAAUCUGUGGCCCUACCCGAGGAAAUGAGCAUGAUUGCCCGAACCCUCCAACCGAUCUGGACGCUGUAUCGGUUCCUCCUGCUGGACAAUGGAUAGAUGGUCACAACACCUUCAUUGAUGGUCACCAAGGGAAAAUUGCAGCCAGGAUCAAAGAGGAUUUAGCUUUGGGCCUCUUACCCACCGAUGUCAACCGAUGCGACGAUACACUUAUGAGCCAGACGCGGAAUCGACUGAAUGGAUGAGUUCUUCGAGGAUCUCAUCUAAUGCACAAUGGUUCAAUCUUGUCUAAUGUGUUUUUUCUGCAAUGUAUCAAGACAUGUUGCAAGGUCGUGUUCAUGGUGGACAAACCCAUCUUGCCGGUGGAUUCAUUUUGAAUUGCUGGAUUUCAAGAUUCAA